rnacentral:rRNA from 1 species
ACGGCUCAGUAACACGUGGAUAACUUACCCUUAGGAUCGGGAUAAUCCUGGGAAACUGGGGCUAAUACUGAAUAGACAAUUUUUUCUGGAAUGGUUGUUUUGUUUAAAUGUUUUUUUUCGCCUGAGGAUAGGUCUGCGGCCGAUUAGGUUGUUGGUAAGGUAAUGGCUUACCAAGCCAGUUAUCGGUACGGGUUGUGAGAGCAAGGGCCUGGAGAUGGAACCUGAGACAAGGUUCCAGACCCUACGGGGUGCAGCAGGCGCGAAACCUCCGCAAUGUGAGAAAUCGCGACGGGGGGAUCCCAAGUGUCAUUCUUAAAGGGAUGACUUUUCAUUUGUGUAAAAAGCUUUUGGAAUAAGAGCUGGGCAAGACUGGUGCCAGCCGCCGCGGUAACACCAGCAGCUCGAGUGGUGGCCAUUUUUAUUGGGCCUAAAGCGUUCGUAGCCAGUUUUUUAAGUCUUUGGUGAAAGUCUAUAGCUUAACUGUAGGAAUUGCUGGGGAUACUAUUGAACUUGAGGUCGGGAGAGGUUAGAGGUACUCCCAGGGUAGGGGUGAAAUCCUGUAAUCCUGGGAGGACCACCUGUGGCGAAGGCGUCUAACUGGAACGAACCUGACGGUGAGGGACGAAAGCUAGGGGCGCGAACCGGAUUAGAUACCCGGGUAGUCCUAGCUGUAAACGAUGCGGACUUGGUGUUGGGAUGGCUUUGAGUUGUUUCAGUGCCAAAGGGAAGCUGUUAAGUCCGUCGCCUGGGAAGUACGGUCGCAAGACUGAAACUUAAAGGAAUUGGCGGGGGAG